UACGUAGGGGGCAAGCGUUGUCCGGAUUUAUUGGGCGUAAAGAGCGUGUAGGCGGCUUGGUAGGUCCGCUGUGAAAACUCGAGGCUCAACCUCGAGAUGUCGGCGGAAACCACUUGGCUAGAGUCCGGAAGAGGAGAGUGGAAUUCCCGAUGUAGCGGUGAAAUGCGCAGAUAUCGGGAAGAACACCUAUGGCGAAGGCAGCUCUCUGGGACGGUACUGACGCUGAGACGCGAAAGCGUGGGGAGCGAACAGG
rnacentral:rRNA from 1 species